CCCUGUCUCUAUACUUUCACUUACAACAAAUAGCUCCUCUGCUCAGCUGCUGAUCACAAUUCUGUUUUGUUCACGCUGCCAGGUGGAUGGGGCAAAAUCCAACAACGGAAAGGGAAAUGUGGACAAAAAAUCGAGCUGCGGGCUGACUCCUUUCAUAACCUGGAAGGGGUCUCUCACAUAGUGUGGUCUGUCACAUUGAAAGGUCAGACUGAGGUUCUGACCCUCAUCGACAUCGACAUCGACAGUGGGACAAAAGACCAUGACUUCCCUAAAAGUUUCAAGGAAAAAGCCUACCUGAACACAACAUCAGGCGCUCUUACUAUCGGCCCUCUCAGCAAAGAUCAUAGUGGCGUGUACCUGCUGGAUAAAACUGACGCAAACAACAUAAUGCACAGUUACAGCUUCAAUGUUACCAUUGAGCUUGGUACCGACCCACUGACUGCCGACCCACUGACUGCAGGACCAGGAAAAGAAAAUACCGAACACCAAAGGAACCACAUUGCUGCUGUUGUAUCAGUUAGCCUCUUUGCUGCUGUUUUAAUUCUGCUUGGAGUUUGUGCACUGAGGGUCAAUGCAAAGACACCGGCUGGGAGAAAGUAAACAUUCAGGGUGUGUUGAUCUGAUGUCCUCUGCAACACUCCACCUUCAAACAGACCAAGACAAGAGAUGAUCAAGGAUGAAUUUCACAGACAAGAUAAACCUACUGACAAACUGUCGGAGAGGAAACUGCACUACCACCGUGCUCUUAUAUUUGUUGUCUUUAAGGAAACCAACAUGCCAUAUCCUUUAAAAAGUCCCCUCACUUCAAAAAGUGCUUUACAUCAUAAAAACCCACAAUAAUAAACAAAGAAUGGGGGCAGACAUAUAGAGCUAAAGACAAUUUAAGAGGAACUGCUGAGUAAAAGUAAAAGAGAAACUACUAAAAACAAUUAAAGCUGGGGUUGGUAGUCAGAUUUAGAUACACUUUUUGUUAUACUGGUUAAAAUGAUCUUCAUGUCCCGAUGGCAAUCAAUGUGUGUUCCUAAAAAAGAGCAAAAAAAAGCCGCUAUCUUCAGCCGGAGUAAAUCUGGGAAAGCACCAAUCAAUCUCCGUUUUUGGGUCCCAAAAUUUUAAACCAAUCAAAUCCCGUCCUGCCGUUCUGCCCACCUCCUGUGCGUACAUUUCCCCAGCGUGCACUCCGAGUCC